rnacentral:rRNA from 1 species
UACGGAGGGUGCAAGCGUUAUCCGGAUUCACUGGGUUUAAAGGGUGCGUAGGCGGGCAGGUAAGUCCGUGGUGAAAUCUCUGAGCUUAACUCAGAAACUGCCAUGGAUACUAUUUGUCUUGAAUGUUGUGGAGGUAAGCGGAAUAUGUCAUGUAGCGGUGAAAUGCUUAGAUAUGACAUAGAACACCAAUUGCGAAGGCAGCUCACUACACGAAUAUUGACACUGAGGCACGAAAGCGUGGGGAUCAAACAGG